rnacentral:rRNA from 2 species
GGUUAAGCGACUAAGCGUACACGGUGGAUGCCCUGGCAGUCAGAGGCGAUGAAGGACGUGCUAAUCUGCGAAAAGCGCCGGCGAGGUGAUAUGAACCUUUGACCCGGCGAUGUCCGAAUGGGGAAACCCAGUGCAAUCCGUUGCACUAUCGUUAACUGAAUACAUAGGUUAACGAGGCGAACCGGGGGAACUGAAACAUCUAAGUACCCCGAGGAAAAGAAAUCAACCGAGAUUCCCCCAGUAGCGGCGAGCGAACGGGGAGCAGCCCGGAGUCUGAAUCAGCUUGUGUGUUAGUGGAACGGUCUGGAAAGUCCGACGGUACAGGGUGAUAGUCCCGUACACGAAAGCACACAUGCUGUGAACUCGAAGAGUAGGGCGGGACACGUGGUAUCCUGUCUGAAUAUGGGGGGACCAUCCUCCAAGGCUAAAUACUCCUGACUGACCGAUAGUGAACCAGUACCGUGAGGGAAAGGCGAAAAGAACCCCGGCGAGGGGAGUGAAAAAGAACCUGAAACCGUGUACGUACAAGCAGUGGGAGCCUCUUUAUGGGGUGACUGCGUACCUUUUGUAUAAUGGGUCAGCGACUUAUAUUCUGUAGCAAGGUUAACCGUAUAGGGGAGCCGAAGGGAAACCGAGUCUUAACUGGGCGUUAAGUUGCAGGGUAUAGACCCGAAACCCGGUGAUCUAGCCAUGGGCAGGUUGAAGGUUGGGUAACACUAACUGGAGGACCGAACCGACUAAUGUUGAAAAAUUAGCGGAUGACCUGUGGCUGGGGGUGAAAGGCCAAUCAAACCGGGAGAUAGCUGGUUCUCCCCGAAAGCUAUUUAGGUAGCGCCUCGUGAACUCAUCUUCGGGGGUAGAGCACUGUUUCGGCUAGGGGGCCAUCCCGGCUUACCAACCCGAUGCAAACUACGAAUACCGAAGAAUGUUAUCACGGGAGACACACGGCGGGUGCUAACGUCCGUCGUGAAGAGGGAAACAACCCAGACCGCCAGCUAAGGUCCCAAAGUCAUGGUUAAGUGGGAAACGAUGUGGGAAGGCACAGACAGCCAGGAUGUUGGCUUAGAAGCAGCCAUCAUUUAAAGAAAGCGUAAUAGCUCACUGGUCGAGUCGGCCUGCGCGGAAGAUGUAACGGGGCUAAACCAUGCACCGAAGCUGCGGCAGCGACGCUUAGGCGUUGUUGGGUAGGGGAGCGUUCUGUAAGCCGUUGAAGGUGUGCUGUGAGGCAUGCUGGAGGUAUCAGAAGUGCGAAUGCUGACAUAAGUAACGAUAAAGCGGGUGAAAAGCCCGCUCGCCGGAAGACCAAGGGUUCCUGUCCAACGUUAAUCGGGGCAGGGUGAGUCGACCCCUAAGGCGAGGCCGAAAGGCGUAGUCGAUGGGAAACAGGUUAAUAUUCCUGUACUUGGUGUUACUGCGAAGGGGGGACGGAGAAGGCUAUGUCAGCCGGGCGACGGUUGUCCCGGUUUAAGCAUGUAGGCGGAGGUUCCAGGUAAAUCCGGUACCUUAUUAACGCUGAGGUGUGAUGACGAGGCACUACGGUGCUGAAGUGAUAAAUGCCCUGCUUCCAGGAAAAGCCUCUAAGCAUCAGGUAACACGAAAUCGUACCCCAAACCGACACAGGUGGUCAGGUAGAGAAUACCAAGGCGCUUGAGAGAACUCGGGUGAAGGAACUAGGCAAAAUGGUGCCGUAACUUCGGGAGAAGGCACGCUGAUAUGUAGGUGAAGUCCCUGCGGACGGAGCUGAAAUCAGUCGAAGAUACCAGCUGGCUGCAACUGUUUAUUAAAAACACAGCACUGUGCAAACACGAAAGUGGACGUAUACGGUGUGACGCCUGCCCGGUGCCGGAAGGUUAAUUGAUGGGGUUAGCGGCAACGCGAAGCUCUUGAUCGAAGCCCCGGUAAACGGCGGCCGUAACUAUAACGGUCCUAAGGUAGCGAAAUUCCUUGUCGGGUAAGUUCCGACCUGCACGAAUGGCGUAAUGAUGGCCAGGCUGUCUCCACCCGAGACUCAGUGAAAUUGAACUCGCUGUGAAGAUGCAGUGUACCCGCGGCAAGACGGAAAGACCCCGUGAACCUUUACUAUAGCUUGACACUGAACACUGGUCCUUGAUGUGUAGGAUAGGUGGGAGGCUUUGAAGCGUGGACGCCAGUCUGCGUGGAGCCAACCUUGAAAUACCACCCUUUAAUGGCUGGUGUUCUAACGUAGACCCGUAAUCCGGGUUGCGGACAGUGUCUGGUGGGUAGUUUGACUGGGGCGGUCUCCUCCCAAAGAGUAACGGAGGAGCACGAAGGUUGGCUAAUCCUGGUCGGACAUCAGGAGGUUAGUGCAAUGGCAUAAGCCAGCUUGACUGCGAGCGUGACGGCGCGAGCAGGUGCGAAAGCAGGUCAUAGUGAUCCGGUGGUUCUGAAUGGAAGGGCCAUCGCUCAACGGAUAAAAGGUACUCCGGGGAUAACAGGCUGAUACCGCCCAAGAGUUCAUAUCGACGGCGGUGUUUGGCACCUCGAUGUCGGCUCAUCACAUCCUGGGGCUGAAGUAGGUCCCAAGGGUAUGGCUGUUCGCCAUUUAAAGUGGUACGCGAGCUGGGUUUAGAACGUCGUGAGACAGUUCGGUCCCUAUCUGCCGUGGGCGCUGGAGAAUUGAGGGGGGCUGCUCCUAGUACGAGAGGACCGGAGUGGACGCAUCACUGGUGUUCGGGUUGUCAUGCCAAUGGCACUGCCCGGUAGCUAAAUGCGGAAGAGAUAAGUGCUGAAAGCAUCUAAGCACGAAACUUGCCCCGAGAUGAGUUCUCCCUGAGACCUUGAGUCUCCUGAAGGAACGUUGAAGACGACGACGUUGAUAGGUCGGGUGUGUAAGCGCAGCGAUGCGUUGAGCUAACCGAUACUAAUGAACCGUGAGGCUUAACCUU